GAUAUAAAAUUGAGAUAUGAUUUCAUUUUAUUUCUUCUCAACAAUUUAAUAUUAUUUCAGUAUUUUCUAUUAAGGAAUAAAAGAAAGUAUUAUAGUUACUGGUAGUUAAGUAGUGGUUAACUAUCAGCAGUUAAUUAGUUGUUAGCAGUUACUAUCGUAACACUUUAUUGUUUAAGUCUGUAUAAAUACAGCAGCUGGUUGUUUAGCUAAAGGAUGGUAAAAUCAUUCUUCUUGUUUCUUCUUGAAUUGUGUUUCUCAUUAUGGUAUCUGAGCUAUAAUAUUUUUUUGCUCAUGGCAACUGACACUAUUUCGGGUAAUGAAGAUGAGCAUCGGCAGUCGUUUAAUACUGCUGCUCAUGCAGAUGGUUCUUCACACGAUCUGGGCAAUGCUUCUAUAAGGAAGAUUCAACAGUUUCCUAAGCAUGAUACUGUGAAACUUGGUGAACAUAACUUUCUUUUGUGGAAGCAGCAAGUCCUGUUGAUUCUUGAAGGAUAUGGCUUGCUUGAAUUUGUUCUUGGAACUGUUAGUGUUCCUCCACAAUCAGUUGUUGAUAAAGACAGUAAUCUUGUUCCCAAUCCUGAAUUCUUGUUUCAUAAACAACAGGAUAAGUUGUUAGCCUCUUGGCUGCUAACUACCAUUGGUGAUGAGAUCUUGGUUCAUCUCACUGCUGCUCGAUCUAGUUUUGAUGUUUGGAAUACUCUUGUCCGUCGUUUUGCCUCAAAAUCUGCUUUGACAGUCUCCACCCUACGACACUCUUUGUAUUCCCAGAAAAAAGGCCAAUUAACUGUGAAAGAAUACUUGGCAAAGAUCAAAGGCUUGUGUGAUAAUCUGACCGCUGCAGGAAAUACUGUUUCUGAACAAGAGCAGAUUAGUGUUAUUCUUGCUGGUCUGCCUGUGGAGUUUGAGUCGAUUAGGAUUGUGGCUUCUGCAAUGCGGGUUCCUCUUGAUCUUCUUACAGAAAUGCUCGCUGAUUGUGAAGCUCGCCAACAAGAAUUAGUUUCCAACGUGACCUUUCAGGCUAACUUUGUUCAGCAACGUGGUAGCACUGAUGACACCAUCAGUAAAAGUGAUAGAGGGUCUCGACCGCCUUACAGAGGUAAUGGAAGAUUUUCUCGAGGUAGAGGUCGAGGAAGAAAGUUUAGUAAUACUAAACCUCAAUGUCAGUUGUGUGGACGUGUUGGUCAUACUGUCCAGAAAUGCUAUUAUCGCUUUGAUGAGAAUUUUGAGGGGUUUUCUGACCAGCCUCUGGAGGCACAUUGUCAUCAGUUUCAGGGAACUUCAACUUCUUGUGCCGGACAUCACUGCUUCUCUCAUAGGACUGCUCCGACUGACUCUGCUGCGAAGUCCAAUCACGUUUCCUGUUCUUCGAAUCCUGUGAACCCGACGGUGUGGUACCUCGAUUCAGGCGCAUCCAAUCAUGUUACUAAUGAUUUGGAUAACUUGCAGGGUGCAGCUCCCUAUACAGGUAACCACAAACUUUACAUGGGGAAUGGGGCCUUUAUACCUGUAGCUCAUGUUGGCUCAGGUCUUCUUCAAACUGCCAGUAGAGUUUUUCGUUUGCACAAUAUAUUGCAUGUUCCUCGUAUUUGUAAAAAUCUGUUGUCUGUAGCUCAAUUUGCAAAAGAUAAUCAGGUUUAUUUUGAGUUUCAUCCUGUUCAUUGCUUUGUGAAGGAUGUCAAGACAGGGAGUGUCUUAUUGGUGGGUCACAUUCAUAAUGGUUUGUACAGAUUUGACAUGUCAGCUUUCCAAGAAUCCAAAGUUGUUGUUUCGUCUCCAGUCACUGCUCAUGUUACUAACCUGGCGCCUCCUGCUUCUAGUAGUCUUGUUUUUUAUUUGUGGCACAAAAGACUUGGCCACCCGUGUGAUAAGACUGUUGCUACAGAACUUCGAAAAUGUAAUAUAAUUUCAAACAAGUCUCAAUUGAGCUCAGUUUGUUCAGCUUGUCAACUUGGAAAAUUUCAUAAGCUUCCAUUUUCUCUUUCUUCUACUGUGUAUUCGGCUCCUUUUGAACUUGUUGUUGCCGAUAUUUGGGGGCCAGCUUCUAUAUCUUCUGAAGGACAUUCUUACUAUAUUUCAUUUGUUGAUGCUUAGUUACUGUUGAAGUUGGUCAGCAUGAAGCCAACACUCGAUUCCAUACAGGCCAUGAAGACCAAGCAAAGCUGGAACAGAUGCAAGGGCUGCUGAUGCAAGCUCAUUUUGUUCAUUUUGUUAUAUUUAGUUGAUGAAAUGAGUGUUAGUUCAUUUCUAACUAAGUUAGCUUUCUGAUUGAUGUAAUUAGCUUAUGUAUGAGCUGUAAACACAGUUUUGUAUAAGUUUACAAGCUAAGAUUUCAAGUUUCUAUGUAAUUAGUGGAGGUAGGUAAUUACUUGUUGAUUUUGACAAGCCUUAUGCUUGAGUUAUGUACUUGCUUCAAGCCAUUGUUUUAUGUAUGAAUGAAAUCAGUUUUGUUCAUCAAUAUUCUCUCAAAAAUUUCCCCAGCUUAUUCUCUUCUUUCUUUAACUCGAAAUUGUUUGUUUGCUUAGCAAGUUUCGAGGCUUGCUCGACAAGAUACUUGCUGAGUCUGCUUGAUUCUGUUGUUGCACCAACAAUUGGUAUCUAGAGCCUAUUUCUUAAGGGAUCUGUUACUCAAUUCCAUGGCUUCAUCAAGCUUUUCACCAGCUGCACCUCAAGUCUUCAAUGGAGAAGGCUAUCACAUAUGGGUGGUCAAAAUGAAGACCUACCUGCAGGCUUUCGAUCUGUGGGAGGUGGUCAACUUUGAUGUUGAACCAGAGCCACUUAGAGCUAAUCCAACAGUGGCUCAGAUCAGGCAGCAUGCUGAUGAAAGGACCAAGAGGCACAAAGCUAUGUCUUGCAUCCAAAACUCAGUGUCUGAUGUGAUUUUCACAAGGAUUAUGGCCUGUGAAUCACCAAAACAGGCCUGGGACAAGUUGCAGGAAGAGUUUCAAGGGACAGAGAGGACAAGGCAGCAACAGUUGUUAAACUUGAGGAGAGAUUUCGAGAAUUUGAAGAUGAAGGAAGAAGAAACUGUCAAGCAAUAUUUUGACAGGAUUAUGGCUGUGGUUAACAGCAUCAGGCUCCUUGGAGAGCAGUUCAAUGAAGCUAGGAUAGUGGAGAAGGUUAUAGCAACUCUGCCUGAGAGGUAUGAGGCAAAAAUCUCAUCUCUCGAGGACUCAAGAGAUCUGUCCACCAUCUCCCUGACAGAGUUGAUCAAUGCUCUAUAUGCUCAAGAGCAGAGGAGAGCAAGCAGACUGGAGGAGCACCAAGAAGGUGCCUUUCAGGCAAGAACAAAUACUGCCUACAAAGGCAAGAAGGCCUGGAGAGACAAGCCAAAGAAUGAUGCUGCAAGGAGAGAAGGUCAGACUUGCAAGCACUGUAGAAAGGCUGGUCAUUCAGAAGAAAAAUGCUGGUUCAAUCCAGAUGCUGUGUGUCAGCAUUGUAAGAAGAAGGGUCAUGUUGAGAGAGUCUGUAAGAGUAAGACCAAAUCGAGGCAAAAUCAGUUUCAACAGAUGAAAGCUGAGGCUCGAGUAGCUAAAGAGGACAGUGACCAAGAGGAGCAAGUCUUUGCUGUGUCAUGCUCAGCUGCUCAGGAAAGGCUCUCAUCUGGUUGGCUCCUAGACAGUGGAUGCACCAACCACAUGACACCUGAUGCUGCAAUCUUCAAGUCUUUAGACAGAAGCUGCAGAACUAAAGUCAAGAUAGGAAAUGGUCAUUUUAUUCAAGCUGAAGGCAAGGGUGAUGUGCUGAUAUGCACCAUUACAGGUACCAAAGUGAUUUCAAAUGUGCUGUUGGUGCCUGAAAUUGACAGAAACCUCCUCAGCAUAGCUCAGUUGCUGGAAAAAGGUUAUUCAGUUGUGUUUAAAGACCACCAGUGCCAAAUCAGUGAUCCAAGUGGAUCCAAACUGAUGGCAGUCCCUAUGGCUGAUAAGAGCUUUGUGGUUGACUGGACAAAAAAGUCAGACAUUGCCUACACAGCCACUUCAGAUGAAUCCAAGCUGUGGCAUCAAAGACUGGGACAUGCCAACUUCAGAUCGAUGGCUCGAAUGGUCAGAGAGGACCUGGCUGAAAAUUUCAUCAACUCAGUGGACCAUGAUGAUGUAUGUGAUGUAUGUCAGCUAGGAAAGCAGGCCAGACUCCCUUUUCCCUCGAAUCAAGCCUGGAGAGCCUCUGAAAAACUCCAACUGGUGCAUACUGAUGUGUGUGGCCCUAUGAAGACUGAGUCAUUAAGUGGAAACAGGUAUUUCAUACUGUUCAUUGAUGAUUUCUCGAGAUAUUGCUGGAUUUACUUUUUAAAACAGAAAUCAGAAGUGGCCUCAGUAUUUUGGAAGUUCAAGACUGCUUCUGAGACUGAAACAGGCUGCAAGCUGAAGACCAUAAGGUCUGAUAAUGGGACUGAGUACACCUCAGCUCAGUUCCAAGCCUUCUGUGAUAAGGCAGGCAUCAAACAUCAACUUACCAACACAUAUACACCUCAGCAGAAUGGGGUAAGUGAAAGGAAGAAUAGGAGUUUGAUGGAUAUGGCCAGGUGCUUGAUGAUUCAGAAAAAUCUGCCUAAAGCACUAUGGGCAGAAGCAGUUAACACUGCAACAUACAUUCAAAAUAGACUUCCAACCAAGGCUUUGGAUCAAAAGACCCCAUUCGAGGCCUGGUUUAGCUUCAAGCCAUCAUUGGCUCAUCUGAAGGUCUUUGGAUGCAUCUGUUAUGCACAUGUACCUGCUGUUAAAAGGGACAAAUUGUCUGAAAGGGCUCGACCUGGUGUUUUGGUGGGGUAUAGCACUGUUAAGAAGGGCUAUAGGAUUUUAGAUCCUUCAACAAACAAAGUGUCAAUAAGCAGGGAUGUGGUAUUUGAUGAGAGGUCAUGUUGGAACUGGGAAAGACAUGAACCUGAAGAAGUUUCUGAAGAACUUGCAGUAGACCAAGCUGAGCCAGACCAAAAUGUCCCUGAAAUGGAUAUUGAUGAUGAACCAGUCAGAGGAACAAGGUCAUUGGCUGAGGUUUAUGAAAGGGCUCAUGUAGCCAUAGCUGAACCAAGCAACUUUGAAGAGGCUGAGGCUCAACAAGGGUGGAAGCAGGCAAUGGCUGAGGAGAUCAGCAUGAUUGAGAAGAACCAGACCUGGAAAUUGGUUGAAAGGCCAGUCAAAAGGAAGGUGAUUGGGGUGAAAUGGGUGUACAAAGCCAAGCAGAAUGCUGAUGGUACCUUGAACAAGCUAAAAGCAAGGCUAAUGGUCAAGGGGUUCAGUCAGAGGUAUGGCUUGGACUACUUGGAGACCUUUGCACCAGUGGCCAGGCUCGACACCAUCAGACUGCUGAUUGCCUUAGCAGCACAGCUCGAAUGGAAGAUCCAUCAACUUGAUGUGAAAUCAGCCUUUCUGAAUGGUUUCUUAGAUGAAGACAUCUAUGUUGAACAACCACAAGGGUUUGAAAUAGCUGGCAGAGAGCAUAUGGUCUACAAAUUGAAGAAGGCCCUAUAUGGCUUAAAACAGGCUCCAAGGGCCUGGUACAGCAGAAUCGAUGGCUACUUGACUGAUCUGGGAUUCAAUCGAAGCAAGAGUGAGCCAACACUGUAUGUCAAGAAGCAAGGGACACAAACACAACUCAUUGUGUCCCUAUAUGUUGAUGACCUGCUGGUGACAGGAGGAGAUCAAGCAGUGCUGGUUAAUUUCAAGACCAAGAUACAAGAGGUGUUUGAAAUGUCUGAUCUUGGGGAGAUGUCCUAUUUUCUUGGAAUGGAGGUGACUCAAGCACAGAAUGGGAUAUUUUUAAGUCAGAAGAGCUUUGCCACAAAGAUUCUGACCAAGUUCUCCAUGCAAAACUGCAAACCAACUAAAACACCUGUUGCUGUUGGAGAAAAACUAUCGAGCCAAGGAGAUUUUGAGAAGGUAUGUGAAACUACCUACAGGAGUCUAGUUGGUUGUUUGCUAUACUUGACUGCCACUAGACCAGACAUAAUGUAUGCUGUAGGAUUGCUCUCAAGGUUCUUGCAUUGUUGCAAUGAGAAGCAUUUCCAGGCUGCCAAGAGAGUGCUCAGAUAUGUCAAAGGCACUUUGGACUAUGGCUUAAGGUACAGCAGGAAAGGAAAUCUAAAUCUAGUUGGGUACACUGAUAGUGACUGGGCUGGGUCGAUAGAUGACAUGAAAAGCACCUCAGGGUAUGCUUUCAACCUUGGUUCAGCUAUGUUCUGCUGGAGCUCGAAGAAGCAAAGUCUGGUGGCACAAUCUACUGCUGAAGCAGAGUAUGUGGCAGCAGCAAGUGCUGUCAACCAAGCCAUUUGGCUUAGGAAAAUCCUGGCUGAUUUGAAUAUGGAUCAAAGGGAAGCAACAGAGAUCUUCUGUGACAAUCAAUCUACUGUUGCAAUUGCCAAAAAUCCUGUGUUCCAUGGAAGAACAAAGCAUUUUAGCAUUAAGCUAUAUGUUGUUCGAGAAAUGGAGCAAGCUCAGGAAGUGAAGCUAAUUCACUGCAAUUCAGAGGACCAGCUUGCAGACAUUUUGACUAAAGCCCUUAAUGUCACAAGGUUUGAGCAUUUAAGAAGAAAAUUAGGUGUUUGCACCAUGCUAACCAAGGAGGAGUGUUGAAGUUGGUCAGCAUGAAGCCAACACUCGAUUCCAUACAGGCCAUGAAGACCAAGCAAAGCUGGAACAGAUGCAAGGGCUGCUGAUGCAAGCUCAUUUUGUUCAUUUUGUUAUAUUUAGUUGAUGAAAUGAGUGUUAGUUCAUUUCUAACUAAGUUAGUUUUCUGAUUGAUGUAAUUAGCUUAUGUAUGAGCUGUAAACACAGUUUUGUAUAAGUUUACAAGCUAAGAUUUCAAGUUUCUAUGUAAUUAGUGGAGGUAGGUAAUUACUUGUUGAUUUUGACAAGCCUUAUGCUUGAGUUAUGUACUGGCUUCAAGCCAUUGUUUUAUGUAUGAAUGAAAUCAGUUUUGUUCAUCAAUAUUCUCUCAAAAAUUUCCCCAGCUUAUUCUCUUCUUUCUUUAACUCGAAAUUGUUUGUUUGCUCAGCAAGUUUCGAGGCUUGCUCGACAAGAUACUUGCUGAGUCUGCUUGAUUCUGUUGUUGCACCAACAGUUACUGGUAGUUAAGUAGUGGUUAGCUAUCAGCAGUUAAUUAGUUGUUAGCAGUUACUAUCGUUGUUCAGCUAAAGGAUGGUAAAACCAUUCUUCUUGUCUUCUUCUUGAAUUGUGUUUCUCAUUAUGGUAUUAGAGCUAUAAUAUUUUUUUCUCAUGGCAACUGAUGCUAUUUAGGGUAAUGAAGAUGAGCAUCGGCAGUCGUUUAAUACUGCUGCUCAUGCAGAUGGUUCUUCACACGAUCUGGGCAAUGCUUCUAUGAGGAAGAUUCAACAGUUUCCUAAGCAUGAUACUGUGAAACUUGGUGAACAUAACUUUCUUUUGUGGAAGUAGCAAGUCCUAUUGAUUCUUGAAGGAUAUGGCUUGCAUGAAUUCGUUCUUGGAACUGUUAGUGUUCCUCCACAAUCAGUUGUUGAUAAAGACGGUAAUCUUGUUCCCAAUCCUGAAUUCUUGUUUCAUAAACAACAGGAUAAAUUGUUAGCCUCUUGGCUGCUAACUACCAUUGGUGAUGAGAUCUUGGUUCAUCUCACUGCUGCUCGAUCUAGUUUUGAUGUUUGGAAUACUCUUGUC
rnacentral:lncRNA from 1 species